rnacentral:rRNA from 1 species
GAUGAACGCUGGCGGCGUGCCUAAUACAUGCAAGUCGAGCGAACAGACGAGGAGCUUGCUCCUCUGACGUUAGCGGCGGACGGGUGAGUAACACGUGGAUAACCUACCUAUAAGACUGGGAUAACUUCGGGAAACCGGAGCUAAUACCGGAUAAUAUAUUGAACCGCAUGGUUCAAUAGUGAAAGACGGCUUUGCUGUCACUUAUAGAUGGAUCCGCGCCGCAUUAGCUAGUUGGUAAGGUAACGGCUUACCAAGGCAACGAUGCGUAGCCGACCUGAGAGGGUGAUCGGCCACACUGGAACUGAGACACGGUCCAGACUCCUACGGGAGGCAACAGUAGGGAAUCUUCCGCAAUGGGCGAAAGCCUGACGGAGCAACGCCGCGUGAGUGAUGAAGGUCUUCGGAUCGUAAAACUCUGUUAUUAGGGAAGAACAAAUGUGUAAGUAACUAUGCACGUCUUGACGGUACCUAAUCAGAAAGCCACGGCUAACUACGUG